rnacentral:rRNA from 1 species
CGCAUCUGUGCAUGCAGCAUAUCAAUAAGCGGAGGAAAAGAAACUAACAAGGAUUCCCCUAGUAACGGCGAGUGAAGCGGGAAGAGCUCAAAUUUGAAAUCUUAAAGGGUUUCCCUUUACGAAUUGUAGUUUAAAGAAGUGUUUUCUGUUGAGGUUUUGGCUAAAAGUUCUUUGGAAUAGGACAUCAUAGAGGGUGAGAAUCCCGUAUUUGACCUUUACUUUCAACUUUGUGAUACACUUUCAAAGAGUCGGAUUGUUUGGGAAUGCAGUCCAAAAUGGGUGGUAAAUUUCAUCUAAAGCUAAAUAUUGGCGAGAGACCGAUAGCGAACAAGUACCGUGAGGGAAGGAUGAAAAGAACUUUGAAAAGAGAGUUAAACAGUACGUGAAAUUGUCAAAAGGGAAGCGUUUGACACCAGUGUUGUUUUUCUGAAAAUCAAUUAAAGAACUGUUUAUGCUAAGUUGUUUAGACUUUAUCAGCUAACUGUUUAGUUUUGAGCUUUUCUUUAAUGCACUUUUCAGUUAACAAGUCAACAUCAAUUUCUUUUGCUGUAAAAAAGCUUGAGGAAGGUGGCUUGAGAUUCGUCUUAAGUGUUUAUAGCCUCUUGCCUAUGCAGUCGGAGAGAUUGAGGUCUGCAGCGUAGAUCCUUCGGGGCUAAAUGCAUUUGUGCUAAGUUAUAGCAUUUUAUAGACAACUUGUUGACUAUGAUUUGUCUUGUAGCUUACUCGCUUAUGUUAUUUUACCUACGCUUAGGAUGUUGAGCGCAUGUCUCUCUCU